CAAUUUUAAAGGCCAGCUCCACAAUUUUAAAGGCCCAGCUCCACAAUUUUAAAGCCCCAGCUCCACAAUUUUAAAGCCCCAGCUCCACAAUUUUAAAGGCCAGCUCCACAAUUUUAAAGCCCCAGCUCCACAAUUUUAAAGGCCAGCUCCACAAUUUUAAAGGGGCUCCACAAUUUUAAAGGGCCAGCUCCACAAUUUUAAAGGGCCAGCUCCACAAUUUUAUAAGGCCAGCUCCACAAUUUUAAAGGGCCAGCUCCACAAUUUUAUAAGGCCAGCUCCACAAUUUUAAAGGCCCAGCUCCACAAUUUUAAAGGCCCAGCUCCACAAUUUUAAAGGCCCAGCUCCACAAUUUUAAAGGCCCAGCUCCACAAUUUUAAAGGGCCAGCUCCACAAUUUUAAAGGGCCAGCUCCACAAUUUUAUAAGGCCAGCUCCACAAUUUUAAAGGGCCAGCUCCACAAUUUUAUAAGGCCAGCUCCACAAUUUUAAAGGCCCAGCUCCACAAUUUUAAAGGGCCAGCUCCAUAAUUUUAAAGGGCCAGCUCCACAAUUUUAAAGGGCCAGCUUGACAAUUUUAAAGGCCCAGCUCCACAAUUUUGAAAGGCCAGCUCCAUAAUUUUAAAGGGCCUCCACAAUUUUAAAGCCCCAGCUCCACAAUUUUAAAGGGCCAGCUCCACAAUUUUAAAGGCCCAGCUCCACAAUUUUAAAGCCCCAGCUCCAUAAUUUUAAAGGGCCAGCUCCACAAUUUAGCACAACCAGUUCACAAGCUCACAAGCCUAAAACAAGCACCAUGAGAAUUUCUUAUACAUCUACCCACGGAAAUGCCCUUAACUCCUACGAAAGCCUUGUAAAAUGUGUGAGCUUGGGCGCCGUAAUGUUUGAGGAUAUUGCUGUAAGUCAUCCCUCCCAUCCUUGAAAGUCGCAGUCACACCUUCACAUGAUCCCCCAAGAUAAUAUAAUACAGGGCCUGAGUGUGCUGCAUUUAAAAGAAAACUAACCUUAUUUGUCUCGAUCAUUCCUGAAUCUGUAUAUUGUUUUGACUUGUUGAAACGGUAAUCGGCUGGACCUAUAAUUACCAUAUAUGAAAGUUCUAUAGUUUUAUAUAUUUAUCUUAAGUCAUGGAAUAUAUAAAGGGAGACUUCUCAUGUUUCCCCCUGUUCAUGUUUGGUCUUUCCUUGUUGAAUUCUAAAGCCACUGUUUACAUGGAAUUAUCGUUUUAAUGUUUAUUGUUAUGUUAUGGUCUUGUUGUGAUAGUCCUCUGAAUUUUGUUAUGGUAUUUCUCUUGUGUUAUAGACGAGUUUUACCCGAGGAAUAUAUCAGUCUUGUCCUUAUGUAGGGUUUGUUCACGAAUUUAUACUUACCUUUCCAAUUAGUACUCACUCAGUCAGGAUAAACAGUCUACCUUUCCAACUAGUAUACUCACUCAGUGUGAAUUAAAACAGUCUACCUCUCCAAUUAGUACUCACUCAGUCUGAAUAAAAACAGUCUACCUUUCCAACUAGUAUACUCAUAAAAACAGUCUACCUCUCCAACUAGUAUACUCACUCAGUCUGAAUAAAAACAGUCUAUCUUUCCAAUUAGUAUUCACUCAGUCAGGAUAAACAGUCUGCUGGAUAAGAAGCUGAGUGAUAAAGAUGAAUUAGUCUGAAAUUAAGAAUGCCGAUCAGUCUGUGUUGUAUUUCAUUUUAAACGCUCAAUAUUCCAGAGAUUUUUAACGUCAAAGAAAGCAGAUUAAAGGCAGAAUUAGAUGUAAAAAAAGACCUCUACCCUCAGCUCCUACAAAAUGAAGAUAAGAAAGAUUAAAAACUACCCCAGAAGCAUAAUCAGUUUCGGUCUUAGAGGUAGUGCUCCCCUUUUGAAUGUAUUAGUCAUCAAAAAAUAUAUAGAAAAUCCUUGUUGGAAGCAGAAUAGGGAGAGAAUAUACAGACAAGGAAAGGCUGCUCCAGAGUUUACCAAUGAAAAAAAAAAAUGAAAGAAUAUAUAUACUGGUUAACUCUUUCAUUAGGGAGUCGGACGGCAUAGGGACGAACUUGAAGAUAUUUUGCUUAAUGUUGUGUCGUUUUCUUUUCCGACAUGCUUACUAAAUGGAAAGGUGUGUGCAAAUUGGUGAACAUGUCCAUAAUGUAUCUUGUUACCUGUUUAUGAAGAGUGAUUGCUGUGUCCUUUAUGUGUAACCUGUGUUUUGUGAAAUUGUGAGUCUAUUUUGUAUGCUUUUCUGUCUGUCAACUGCAGGCCUAUUUGUAUACUUUGUUGAACCAUUGUCUUCUGGUGCCCUGACUUGUGUUCAGGUGUUCCUGUCCUGAUGAUUGUCUAACUCCAACCAAUAAAAUUAAUGAGAGGAGAGUUACUUUCGCAACUUCUAUUAAGGCUAGUCAACCCAACGAUGGAUGCCCUCAGAAGGUGACCGUGUGUGUGUGCGGUGCGUGUAAGUGUGUGUGUGUGUGUUUUUAUAAUUUCUCACCUCUCUUCCUUUGACGUCAUAUUUCUACUUCCUCUUUCUUCUUUGUUGUUACCCUGUCUGUCUGUCUGUCUGUCUGUGUGUCUGUCAUAUGUAUAUAAAUCUGUUCAUUUGUGUGCUGUGAGGGCCAAGUUGAGAUUAAUUGUGGAAGCUUAAGUUAAUUCAAAUGAGCUUUAGUUGAAAACAGUAGUAGUAGUAGUAGUAGUAUAGGAGUAGUAGUUGUGGUGGUAUAGUGGGUGGUGGUCCUCUAAUAAUAGUAAUAGUUGGUAGUGUUGUUGUUUUCAAUAGGAGUAAUAGCAUUGCAGUACAACCCUUAUAACUCAAAAUUUUAUGUAACUCGUUAAGACAAAGAUAAAGUGAUUGAAAACUGAUUCCAAAUUCUGAUAAACAACGGGAAAACAAAAUUGGAGAAAAAUGGUGCAGUUCUUUUUCGCCAUUUUGCAGAGUUGUAAGCACGUAUUGGUGGGCUACUCGGCAUGGCGAGCCUGCAUUAGCUUGGCUUCAACGCGUAGUCCUGCUGUAUAUGCGCCUGGACCACGUGACCUGACUCAUUCAUCCGCUCUCCGAUUCACCUCAGCACGCUGCCAAAGUGUUGCAACAUUUCGUUUUCCACACUCGGCAUGGCGAGUCUGCAUUAGCUUUGCUUCAACACGUAGUCCAGCUGUAGGCUAUAUGCGCCUGGGCCACGUGACCUGACUCUUACAUCCUCUUUCUGAUUCACCUCAGCACGCUGCCGAGGUGUAGCAACAUUUCGUGUUCUGCACUUGGCAUGGCGUGCCCACACUAAGUUUGUUUAAUUAAACUAUAAACAUCCCUACAUCCCUGCGUUCAACAGAUACGCUACGCACGCAACGGUUUACAAUGUUCCGCAGUGUUGUGCAACUUGGGCAGCAAGUUGCCUCAAGAUGGCGGCGUUAGCUAAACCGCACGAGGAGUCGUUGGGCGGGGGACAAAGGAGGCGUCGUAAGUAUAUGAAUGUUGCCAGUGUCCCCACUGCUGCAUCUUGUCGUCUUCUGCGCUUGUAUUGUUCAGCUAUGAUUGCUGCUUACAGUAAAGUGUCGCCUGUAAGACCUCCUGAGGGAAUAUUGAUCGGGAUGAUUUUUAAAGUUUGUAGCUACUGUAUGUAGGUACACCAGUAUUAGAAGUGUAGAUAUUAAGGCAAGGCAAUGGAAAUUUUUUGAACAAAAACACCCAGCAUAGCCCAUACACAAUUUGAGUACGUCAGACAAGGGAAUAAUGAAUCAACCUGAAUAUACGUAAAGAGUAGGCGUUUAUAUGUAGGUAGUUUAAUGGCGUGGCUAGUAAGGACAACGUGAAACGUCACUUCGUGGGAGAGUUUAUCGUUUUUAGAACGUCACUCACUGGGCGGGAAAGGUGACCUGUUGGGCGGGAAUUUACUGUUAAUAAACACGUCACUUUCUGGGCGGGAAAGGUGACUAGUUAGGCGGGAAUUUACUGUUAUUGAAAACGUCACUUUUUGGGCGGGAAAGGUGACUUGUUAAGCGGGAAUUUACUGUUGCUGUAAACGUUACUCAUUGCGCUGGAAUUCACUAUUGUUGAGAGAAGAUAGCGGGCAGGGGAGAGUGAGACUUGUAAGGCAGCAGGAAACUUGUAGGGCAGGGCAUACCUUGUUGCUGCUCCGUUACUCGUCCUUACACACACACACACACACACACACACACACACUCCACCUCUUUGCUUGUUCUCGUUACCCGUUUCAUACAUUGUUUCUCGUUUUCCACACUUGCCGCCCUUUCCACUUUAUUUUUCUAUUUUUUUUAUUUACAUUUUAUUCAUUUAUUUUUCCGUUUUUGGUUAUCCCCGAAUUAUAGAGAAGUUCACCCUCUAGACUCCUUCAUGUAGCUCCUAUUUCCCAUGAUGGUUAAAUAGAUAAUUAAAUGUUCUUAUUCUCAUUCUCCUCCUCUUCCUCCUUUCGCUUGUCCCAGAUCGGCCUUCCAUUCUUGCUUUCUUUCUUUCUAUUCCUCCUCUACAUCAAUAACAACAUUACGUAUUCUUCCUCUAUAUAACUAUCAGCGUAAACUAAUAUUCCUCUCUUGAUGUUGAGUCCAAAAACUCCACAUGUAUCCUUGGUUGGCCCCAGUUCGUUCAUUGCGCGUGUAUUUUUUUUAUAUUUUUUAUAGUCAUGCCGCUGUGCACUCCUGUCUUCGUGUUAAGGAAAGAAAGGAAGGAAGAAAAAAAGAAAGCCAGGCAGGAAGAAAGUAAGAAAGAAAGAACGAACGAGAGAAAGAAGAUAAGAUAAGAAAGAAGAUAAUUGACAGCUCUUGCGGCCACCUCUUCGGAUUCUUUACAGGAGCAGCGAGUAGCGGGCUUUUUUUUUUUAUUGUUUCCUUUUUUUGUGCCCUUGUGCUGUCUGCUGUAAAAAAAAAAUAGAAAGAAAACAAGAAAGACAAUAGAAAGAAAACAAAAAAGACAAUAGAAAGAAAGGAAGAAAGAUGAUAGAAGAUAAAAGAUGGUGAACUGAUGUAUAUUCUAGCUGCUAGGUCCCCCCUCCGUUUGCUGCCAGAUCUCCCCUUACGUUCUUAUGUUCUUAUGUUCUUAUUGUAAUGAAAAUCCGGGUACUUUCAGUUUUGCCCGAAGGUGAUUUGUAGGAGAUGGACAACUUUUUCUUGUUCUGCUCCUCCCCCUCCUCUUCCCCCCCCCCCUCCUCCUCCUUGCACAUGUGUUCCUCCUUUUUUCCUUCUCCUCCCGUUUCUCGUCCUCCUUUUCCUUCUUGUGUUCCUCCUCUUUUUCUCCCACCCUCCUCCUCUUUCUCCUAAUGUUUCUCCUCCUCCUCCUCUUUCUCCUCCAUGUGUUCGUCGUUUUCCUCCUUCUCCUCCUCAUCCUCAUCCUCAUCCUCCCUCUCUUUCGCAUGUUCCAGAUCAGUUUUCCCAUUUUGCUUACUUUGUUUUUCCUCAUACUUUACAUAAUUGUCAACAUAAGGUAAUAUUUCUCUCAUGAUAUAAGUUUAAUGGUUUCUAAGGUCCAAAGUCGAUCUUAACCUCUUCUCACAGGUACCGUUUAUGCCCCCAACUUCACCUGUAUAUACUUUACCUUUCCUUUCUUGCUAACUUAUAAUAUCUCCUCGACCUCUGCAUACUCAUCAACAUUAGGUUAUCUUCCUCUCUUAAAUGAAGUCUAAUGGCUCAUAAUCACUUUUAAUCACUUCACAGGUAGCGUAUGCCUUCAACUACACCUGUACUUUACCUUUCCUUUCUUGCUAACUUGCUAUCUCCUCGACCUCUAUACAUCAACAUUAGGUUAUCUUCCUCUCUUAAAUGAAGUCUAAUGGUUCAUAAUCACUUUUAAUCACUUCACAGGUAGCGUAUGCCCUCAACUUCACCUGUACUUUACCUUUCCUUUCUUGCUAACUUAUAAUAUCUCCUCGACCUCUGAAUACUCAUCAACAUUAGGUUAUCUUCCUCUAUUGAAUGAAGUCUAAUGGCUCAUAAUCACUUUUAAUCACUUCACAGGUAGCGUAUGCCCUAUAUACUUUACUUUUCCUUUCUUGCUAACUUAUAAUAUCUCGUCCUCUGCAUACUCAUCAACAUUAGGUUAUCUUCCUCUAUUGAAUGAAGUCUAAUGGCUCAUAAUCUUUUUAAUCACUCUUCACAGGUAGCGCAUGCCCUCAACUUCACCUGUACUUUACCUUUCCCUUCUUGCUAACUUAAUUACUCCUGGUCCCUUACUUAAAUAUCAACAUUAAGUCUUCUUCCUAUGUUGACUUGAAUUUAAUGGCUCAUAACUUUCAAACAAUCUUCCUAAUCCCAUUUCUCAUGUAACGUAUAUUGCCUAACUACUUUACCCUUCCCGCCUUGCUCAUUUAAUAUCUCCUCACACUGUAUACUCGUCAACAUAAGGUAUUCUUCCUCUCUUUUAAGUUUAAUUGUGCAUAGCGUCCAUCCCGUCUCCUUAAUCCCUUCUCUCAGGUAACGUAUGCCCUCAACUUUACCUGUGGCCUACUUUACCCUUCCCUUCUUGCUCAUAUAAGGGGCUAUUA